CACGUAGGGUGCGAGCGUUGUCCGGAAUUAUUGGGCGUAAAGAGCUCGUAGGCGGUCCGUCACGUCGGAUGUGAAAUUCCAGGGCUCAACCCUGGACCUGCAUUCGAUACGGGCGGACCAGAGUUCGGUAGGGGAGACUGGAAUUCCUGGUGUAGCGGUGAAAUGCGCAGAUAUCAGGAGGAACACCAAUUGCGAAGGCAGCUCGCUGGGACGUUACUGACGCUGAGACGCGAAAGCGUGGGGAGCAAACAGG
rnacentral:rRNA from 1 species